rnacentral:rRNA from 1 species
GAAUGCUGACAUAAGUAACGAUAAAGCGGGUGAAAAGCCCGCUCGCCGGAAGACCAAGGGUUCCUGUCCAACGUUAAUCGGGGCAGGGUGAGUCGACCCCUAAGGCGAGGCCGAAAGGCGUAGUCGAUGGGAAACGGGUUAAUAUUCCCGUACUUGGUGUUACUGCGAAGGGGGGACGGAGAAGGCUAUGUUGGCCGGGCGACGGUUGUCCCGGUUUAAGCGUGUAGGUGUGUGUUCCAGGUAAAUCCGGUUCACUUUAACACUGAGGCGUGACGACGAGGCACUACGGUGCUGAAGCAACAAAUGCCCUGCUUCCAGGAAAAGCCUCUAAGCAUCAGGUAACAUCAAAUCGUACCCCAAACCGACACAGGUGGUCAGGUAGAGAAUACCAAGGCGCUUGAGAGAACUCGGGUGAAGGAACUAGGCAAAAUGGUGCCGUAACUUCGGGAGAAGGCACGCUGACACGUAGGUGAAGUGAUUUACUCAUGGAGCUGAAGUCAGUCGAAGAUACCAGCUGGCUGCAACUGUUUAUUAAAAACACAGCACUGUGCAAACACGAAAGUGGACGUAUACGGUGUGACGCCUGCCCGGUGCCGGAAGGUUAAUUGAUGGGGUCAGCGCAAGCGAAGCUCCUGAUCGAAGCCCCGGUAAACGGCGGCCGUAACUAUAACGGUCCUAAGGUAGCGAAAUUCCUUGUCGGGUAAGUUCCGACCUGCACGAAUGGCGUAAUGAUGGCCAGGCUGUCUCCACCCGAGACUCAGUGAAAUUGAACUCGCUGUGAAGAUGCAGUGUACCCGCGGCAAGACGGAAAGACCCCGUGAACCUUUACUAUAGCUUGACACUGAACAUUGAGCCUUGAUGUGUAGGAUAGGUGGGAGGCUUUGAAGUGUGGACGCCAGUCUGCAUGGAGCCGACCUUGAAAUACCACCCUUUAAUGUUUGAUGUUCUAACGUGGACCCGUUACCCGGGUUGCGGACAGUGUCUGGUGGGUAGUUUGAC